rnacentral:tRNA from 1 species
AAAAAAUUAGUUAAAAUAUAACAUUAAAUUGUCAAUUUAAAAUUAUUAUUAAUAAUAUUUUUUA